rnacentral:rRNA from 1 species
AGUGAACGCUGGCGGUAGGCCUAACACAUGCAAGUCGAACGGCAGCACAGUAAGAGCUUGCUCUUACGGGUGGCGAGUGGCGGACGGGUGAGGAAUACAUCGGAAUCUACUUUUUCGUGGGGGAUAACGUAGGGAAACUUACGCUAAUACCGCAUACGACCUACGGGUGAAAGCAGGGGAUCUUCGCACCUUGCGCGAUUGAAUGAGCCGAUGUCGGAUUAGCUAGUUGGCGGGGUAAAGGCCCACCAAGGCGACGAUCCGUAGCUGGUCUGAGAGGCUGAUCAGCCACCCUGGAACUGAGACACGGUCCAGACUCCUACGGGAGGCAGCAGUGGGGAAUAUUGGACAAUGGGCGCAAGCCUGAUCCAGCCAUACCGCGUGGGUGAAGAAGGCCUUCGGGUUGUAAAGCCCUUUUGUUGGGAAAGAAAAGCAGCAGGUUAAUACCCCGCUGUUCUGACGGUACCCAAAGAAUAAGCACCGGCUAACUUCGUG